rnacentral:tRNA from 1 species
GUUAUAAUAGUUUAAUAAAAACCUUGGUUUUGUAAACCAAAAUUAGAUAUGUAAUCUUUAUAACU